CGGAGAAAGCAAACCUAGAGCUGAAAUACUAAAAAGAACGCCUAGGGACAAAAAAAGUACCAUCAGCGCCGUAUAAGUCCAAAAAAGACCCCCCUCCCCCUCUUGUCGUCGUCUUCCUCAACAGACCCCAUAACCCGCUGCUGCUCCUCCACCUCAACCAGACCAACAGCCGCAGAACACAACACAAACGACCCCUGCUGCUUCUUCUGCCUCUUCCCAUUCACGAUAGCGUCGAACACGCCGGAAAACCUUCCCAAACCAUCACCGUUUUCAUCUCCAAACUCCACUCUAAUCCAACCCCAAAAUCUGUCCGGAAAUCAACCACAAGAACAGAUUAAAACCAACUGUUUUCCUCCAUAAUUACACCUCGCAAGGUCCGACUUUGUUAUCUCAUUUUGGUGAGUUAGAAGAGGUCAAAGUUUGAGGUCUGUUUGAAUUCUCGUCCGAUGCUCCGCUCUGCGAGUUUGGGGUGGAACGUCGCAGUUGAUCUCCGUUCCCAAAACUGAAAUUCUUGUUUUCUCUGUACGCAACAAAGGUCUUGUUUUUGAUCCAGUAGCUAUGUCUAAAGUCUGUGUUACUCCAACUGGACUUAGAAUCUGCUUAACAUACUCCCAGUAGUGACAAUGAAAUGGCAAACCUGGUAAUAAUACUCAAACCAGGGCAAAUGGGGAAUGUUCAUCCGGUUUGAAAUCCAGUGUCCAUUGUUCAAGCCACAUUUGUUGUCCAUAUAUAUUUCAAUUAUCCGCUUGAAAAAGACAUUCUUGCAAUCCUCUUCAUUACUAAAGUCCAUAAAAACAGUUCUAAAACCAUAAGCACCAAUUUUGACAUUACCUUUUAUUGAGAUUUUCUCGGCAAAAGAGCUUCGAAUGAUUUUAAUUUUGGGUCUGGUCUUUAGAAAUUUUCCGACUAAUGUAAGUCGGCAAUGUUGAGCCAUCACUCCAUAGUAAUCUUUGGAUUUGAAAAUCACUGCUGGCAUGCCAUUAUGAGUUGUUAUUCUAGCCUUCACUUGGUAUCCACUAUUGACAUUAGAGCUAGAGCUUUGCAGUGGCGGAGGCAGGAUUAUCGCCAAGGGUGUUCAAAAAAAGAAAAAAGUUAGAAAAGUUGCAGCCAGUGGAAAUAGAACCAAUGACCUUUCAAAGAUUUUGACUAACAUAGGCUUUUGGGCUAUGUCAAAGGGAUUCAAAAUAUAAUAUAUAGAGGUAAAAAAUAAAUUUUAUCUUACAUAUACCGUGUAAUUUUGGUUAGGGUGAACACCCUUCCGCCCCCUAAAUCCGCCCUGGGGCUCUGUAUCACCGGUGGAUAAACUGUGGUGGCAUAGGUUGAUUUGGGAAUAAUUUCUUCCAUGGAGGUAGUCGCUCCAGCUAGAGGGUUCGAAUUAUUGCUAGGACGCGCCGAUAUUGGGCCGUCCGAUGUGGACAUGGAAGCGGCGCGUAAGUGCCAAGCGCUGAGUCUCUUAGAGACGUUAAGAUUUGUCCGUUAUUGUGCGGAGAGAAUUUUUUGGACAGGGAACAAAAAGAUUUUUAGGACCACGUUGAUUUUACCCUUAUUUCAAUUCAAUAUAUAUCAAGCUUGUUACAGAAAUCCAACUCGUAGAUUAUUUCUUAUCUCUAGCAUUGGAUUCAAUUCGUUCUUAGCCACGAGAUCUAUUUGCUACGUCAAGUGACAUUAUGUUUGAUCACUGCUCAAAGGAAAUCCUGGUUGUAGAAGAGCUUCUUGAAAUGAUUCAAGUUCAGCAAACUUUGGAGUUUUCGUUAAGGAGUUUCUAAGAGUUCUUUUCUCGCACUUGCUUUUGUGUUGCUGAUCAUCUCUUGAGGAAAUAUUGUGACAACAGUGUAAUAGACGUUGAUUAUCUGACCCUGAAAGUUCAUGAUGCUGAUUGGGAGCUUAUCUGCAAGCAAAAGGGAAGGUUCCAUUGAACCACAUUUGAUGUGCUAAGGGUGACUCGUUUGGUUCUGGAAAGGUUCAAAUUGAAUUCGAAAUACUUAGUUCCAUAAUAGUGGCCUAAGGUGGCACAACACUUUGAGUAAACGACCACGGAAUCGAGAUUUGAAGGUUCCAAUAGGUUUGUAUGGUAAUUUUGGACUUGGAAGUAUGUUCGAAUCGAGUUUUGGGUGGACCGGGAGCGUUUUGGCGCUUAUUACCAGAAGUUGGCAUUUGGAAGGUUUUAAACUUUUCUAAAUUUGACUUGAAGAGGACUUUAGUGAUAUCGAACCCCGCUUGGCUUUCCAAGCCCGAAGAUAGGUUCGUAUUGUCAUAUCGGAGUUGUGUGUAAAAUUUGGUUCAAUUUCGAGUUGUCUAAUUAUGGUUUGUCGCGUUCGAAGUUAGUUGGAAGAAGUUUGAACUUUAGAAGUUGAUUAGUUUGAUUUGGGGUGUGAUUCUUGGUUGUGAUAUCAUUUUUAAGUGUUUUGAGACGUUGCGUAGGUCCGGAUUAUGUUUAUGGACUUAUUGGUAUAAUUGAACGGGAUUCUGGAUAGCUCGGGUGAGUUUCGGACCACUCGAAGUAAUAUUGAAGUUGGUAGAUUUUUUCUGGCGCUUGUGUAUUUCGCGAUCUUAAAGAAGAAAUUUGGAGGGGGCGGCUAUUGCUCUUCGCAAAAGUGAAGAAGUCCUCGAGAAUGCGAUGGAGGGCCUGGCUCCUCUUUGCGAACGCAGAGGAGGCCAUACGAAUGCGAAGAAGGAAGAGGAAGGGAAGGACUUGCAGACUUGGCCUUCGCGAAUGCCGCAGUAGGUCCGCGAACGCGAAGGAAUGGUAGAAGUGUUCUCCAGGAACUCGACAGAGCGAUAGCAAACACGAAGAAAGAGACCUGGGCAGGGGAAGUUCUGUUCUUUACGAUCCAGAGAGUGCUUCCGCGAGCGCGAAGAAGAAGGUCUUGGGUAGAAUAUAAGUUUUGUUUCGGGACUUAGUCUCAUUUCAUCACAUGUUUUCUUGGCUUGAGCGAUUUGGGAGUUUUUUGAAGGAGCAUUUUCAUCAAGUAUCACUAGGUACUAAGACAAGUACAUCGGGUGGUCACUCAGGCGUGUAGUCGUAUCAGGUGGAGACUUAGUGGUGAGCUAUUUUUCAUGCUUCGACCCCUAGCACUCGGAGUUUCCUUCCUCAUAUAUUUACUUUAUUCUGUCUAUUUUCAUUUCUGAUAGUAGUUGUAGUGGUUUUGUAUAUUCUAUUAGAUGCUCAUGCACUGGCGACACCAGGUUUUGGAGAUUUUUAGUAGAUGUUCAUGGUUGUAUUUGAUAUUUAUAAUAUUUUGCCUUAUGUUUUGUUCAUA